rnacentral:rRNA from 1 species
UUUCGGGAUGGGGGACAACAGCUGGAAACGGCUGCUAAUACCGAAUACGUCUUUUCAUCGCAUGGUGAGAAGAAGAAAAGGACGGCCUCUACACAAAGCGGUCGCCGAAGGAGGGGUUUUUGCGUCUGAUUAGCUAGUUGGAGGGGUAACGGCCCAACAAGGCGACGAUCAGUAGCCCGGUCUGAGAGGAUGAACGGCCACAUUGGGACUGAGACACGGCCCAGACUCCUACGGGAGGCAGCAGUGGGAAUCUUCCGCAAUGGACGAAAGUCUGACGGAGCAACGCCGCGUGAGUGAAGACGGUCUUCGGAUUGUAAAGCUCUGUUAUACGGGACGAACGGCAAGGUGGUAAAUAGCCAUCAUGAGUGACGGUACCGUAAGAGAAAGCCACGGCUAACUACGUGCCAGCAGCCGCGGUAAU